AUUGAACGCUGGCGGCAGGCCUAACACAUGCAAGUCGAACGAGUGGCGGACGGGUGAGUAAUGUAUGGGAAUCUGCCCGAUAGAGGGGGAUAACUACUGGAAACGGUAGCUAAUACCGCAUACUCUCGGCUGCACCCAUAUGGGAUUAGCUAGUAGGUGGGGUAAAGGCUCACCUAGGCGACGAUCUCUAGCUGGUCUGCUAGGAUGACGAGCCACACUGGAACUGAGACAAGGUCCAGACGCCGACGGGAGGCAGCAGGGGGGAAUAGUGCACAAUGGGCGCAAGCCUGAUGCAGCCAUGCCGCGUGUAUGAAGAAGGCCUUAGGGUUGUAAAGUACUUUCAGCGGGGAGGCGUUACCCGCAGAAGAAGCACCGGCUAACUCCGUGCCAGCCGCCGCGGUAAUAC
rnacentral:rRNA from 1 species